rnacentral:rRNA from 1 species
AUUGAACGCUGGCGGCAGGCCUAACACAUGCAAGUCGAACGAGGGGCGGACGGGUGAGUAAUGUCUGGGAAACUGCCUGAUGGAGGGGGAUAAAUAGUGGAAAAGGUAGCUAAUAAAGCUUACCACAAGUUGUGCCCAGAUGGGAGUAGCUAGUUGGUGGGGUAACGGCUCACCAAGGCGACGAGCCCUAGCUGGUCGGAGAGGAUGACAAGCCACACUGGAACUGAGACAAGGUCCAGACUCCUACGGGAGGCAGCAGUGGGGAAUAUUGCACAAGGGGCGAAAGCCUGAUGCAGCCAUGCCGCGUGUAUGAAGAAGGCCUUCGGGUUGUAAAGUACUUUCAGCGGGGAGGCGUUACCCGCAGAAGAAGCACCGGCUAACUCCGUGCCAGCAGCCGCGGUAAUAC